UCAGGUAGGUUUUCCUGACGUUCUGCGCCAGCGUGUUGGCGUAGUCCUCGAAGUUUCGGAGCAGAUGCGCGGUGCCGCCCUCGGUCUUCUGGAUAUGCUCCCAGUGCUCCUUGGUGUCGGGAUCCAGGAUGGCACUGCCCGCUCGCACCAAAUUCUGGAAAGAAUAGCUUCUUCAGGUGGGAAAAGGUGACGGUGGUGCAGUUGAAGAGUUCAGGCGUCAACCAGCCUUUCUCAUCACUACAGUGGCGGAUGGCAGUGCCUGACAAAAAUAAAUAAAAAAUGUACAAAAACAGAAGAAAGUAAAAAUCAAGUUCAAGCUCAA